AACGCAAAUUGCACUCUCCGGUUUUCCGGGAGAGUAUGCCUGUUUGAGGGUCUGUUUAAAAAACAAUCGAGGCUGUUGCUGUGUGGUGGCGCCUCGGAAUUGGGUCAUCUUCCACCUUUCGGGGUUGUAAGCGACUUAAAAUUUUUUUACGAUUUCGAUGAACGUGUUUAAGGAUAUUCCUAUACGUUCAUGAUAUCGAAAUUCCCUAUUAGGGGUGACCGCCGCGUCGGUUUCACCUCUAUAAUAUCAUCAAAGGACCUCAGACAGGUAAGAUUACCCGCUGAACUUAA
rnacentral:misc_RNA from 1 species